CAGAAGUGUUAGCAGCAGCUGUGGCCUUGAGCUGUUGGCUGCAAGCAGAGAUGAGAUGAGUGAGCUACAGAGGCCUGUGUAGAUGCAGUUCGACUUGUGUCAGGUGAAGGGAGCUAUCAGGAUGUUCCCACAUGAACCUGGAAUGCAGAUAAAUCUUAUCUGGGUUGCAGACACAUGAGUGUGAGGUAUAGAAAAGGGAUGUGUCGCGCAGCAGAGAGGGAGAUAAACAACGAAAAGGAGGAGGGAUGAUGCAGAGCAGCAUCGCUCCAGACGAGUGAAGGGCCGGCUCAAGGACACACGGAUUCCAGCGAGGAGACAUUGUCUGUGUCUGUCACAACACGACAGCC